GGGGAUUUAGCUCAGUGGUAGAGCGCUUGCCUAGCAAACGAAAGACCCUGGGUUCGGUCCCCAGCUCCG
rfam:Rattus norvegicus chromosome 5, whole genome shotgun sequence.